CUGAUUGGUUCAAACAACAUAACUUUAUAGAGUGCAGGACCAUUUAUCUGAUUGGUUCAAACAACAUAACUUUAUAGAGUGCAGGACCAUUUAUCUGAUUGGUUCAAACAACAUAACUUUAUAGAGUGCAGGACCAUUUAUCUGAUUGGUUCAAACAACAUAACUUUAUAGAGUGCAGGACCAUUUAUCUGAUUGGUUCAAACAACAUAACUUUAUAGAGUGCAGGACCAUUUAUCUGAUUGGUUUCAAACAACAUAACUUUAUCAUUGUAUGACAUGGAGGAAAAGCCCGUUUCCGGGAAGGGAUCCAUGUGUGCUGCAGUCGAAGUGGAAAGAGAAAUGGAAAUAGGUUGUCUCCUUCAUGUAUGAUCGAGAUCAAUAACACUCAUAUGGCUGUAGUGUGGAGGAGAUGGAUCAGAGGUCACAAUAUACACAUUUUCAGUGAAAAUGAACAGAAAAGAGGUCUAAACAUGUUGGUGUGAAAACAGGAUUUGCAGCAUAACAGGUUUGCAGCAUAACAGGUUUGCAGCAUAACAGGAUUUGCAGCAUAACAGGUUUGCAGCAUAACAGGUUUGCAGCAUAAGCAGGUUUGCAGCAUAAGCAGGACAUAUUCAAAUAGCCAUUGUUUCCUUUUAUGCCAUUUUAGCCUACUUUAGAGGAUGAAGCAAUAAUUGAUAACUGAAACAGAUAACACACAGUAAUGAAGAUACCUCCUCC